AUUUCAAUGCUAAUUCAGGACUCGAAAUCAUCAAAUCAGAUGGUUCCAAGAAGUGGACAUUGUUCAGAGGCCGCACGGCUUUCGGCAACUCCUGGUCUCCAGCUGAACCCGACGUGAUUUUUACGUCAGUCGGACCUGUAUUCGACUCUGUAAAAGCAACAGUUCAAAUCGCGCGAGUUACAUUCAAUUCGUCAAAUCUAACUAAGGAUGAUUGCAGGGAAAUUCCAGUGGAAAUAGAAAUACUCACAAAAGAGGAGACUGGGAAUAAUGCCUUCCCUUCCUGCUCGCCCGAUGGAAAGCAUGUUGUAUUCCGUUCAGGCCGUUCAGGACACAAAAAUCUGUAUAUUGUUGACGCGGUUAAGGGAGAGCUGGAGGGUGGAGAAAUCCGUCAGCUAAC
rnacentral:lncRNA from 1 species